GCUCAUUUCAGCAGAGCAUAUACUAAAAUUAGAAUGAUACAGGGAAGAUUAGCAUUUAACCGGCACAAGGGUGUCAAGCAAAUGUGUGAAGCUAUCCACUUUUUG